UACGUAGGGGGCUAGCGUUGUCCGGAAUCAUUGGGCGUAAAGCGCGUGUAGGCGGCCCGGUAAGUCCGCUGUGAAAGUCGGGGGCUCAACCCUCGGAAGCCGGUGGAUACUGUCGGGCUCGAGUACGGAAGAGGCGAGUGGAAUUCCUGGUGUAGCGGUGAAAUGCGCAGAUAUCAGGAGGAACACCAGUGGCGAAGGCGACUACCUGGCCUGUUCUUGACGCUGAGGCGCGAAAGCUAGGGGAGCAAACGGG
rnacentral:rRNA from 1 species